AUGGCACCCAAGGCGGCAGAGAAGAAGCUGGCGCCGGCCACGGCAGAGAAGACGACGGCGGGGAAGAAGCCCAAGGCGGAGAAGCGGGCGCCGGCGACCAAGGAGGCCGGCGGCGAGGGCAAGACGAGGGGCCGGAAGAAGGGCAGCAAGGCCAAGAAGGGCGUGGAGACGUACAAGAUCUACAUCUUCAAGGUGCUCAAGCAGGUGCACCCGGACGUCGGCAUCUCCUCCAAGGCCAUGUCCAUCAUGAACUCCUUCAUCAACGACAUCUUCGAGAAGCUCGCCGGGGAGUCCGCCAAGCUGGCGAGGUACAACAAGAAGCCCACCAUCACGUCCCGGGAGAUCCAGACCUCCGUCCGCCUCGUCCUCCCCGGGGAGCUCGCCAAGCACGCCGUCUCCGAGGGCACCAAGGCCGUCACCAAGUUCACAUCAUCCUAG
rnacentral:rRNA from 1 species